rnacentral:rRNA from 1 species
UACGAAGGGUGCAAGCGUUACUCGGAAUUACUGGGCGUAAAGCGUGCGUAGGUGGUUCGUUAAGUCUGUCGUGAAAGCCCCGGGCUCAACCUGGGAAUGGCGAUGGAUACUGGCGGGCUAGAGUGCGGAAGAGGCGAGUGGAAUUCCUGGUGUAGCGGUGAAAUGCGCAGAUAUCAGGAGGAACACCAAUUGCGAAGGCAGCUCGCUGGGACGUAACUGACGCUGAGACGCGAAAGCGUGGGGAGCAAACAGG